rnacentral:rRNA from 1 species
GAUCCUGGCUUAGGAUGAACGCUGGCGGCGUGCUUAACACAUGCAAGUCGAACGAAGCAUUCCAACUCUCGGAGGAAGAAAUGACUGAGUGGCGGACGGGUGAGUAACGCGUGGGUAACCUGCCUUAUACAGGGGGAUAACAGUUAGAAAUGACUGCUAAUACCGCAUAACCCGCUAGUACCGCAUGGUACAGACGGAAAAGAUUUAUCGGUAUAAGAUGGACCCGCGUCUGAUUAGCUAGUUGGUGAGGUAAUGGCUCACCAAGGCGACGAUCAGUAGCCGGCUUGAGAGAGUGAACGGCCACAUUGGGACUGAGACACGGCCCAAACUCCUACGGGAGGCAGCAGUGGGGAAUAUUGCACAAUGGGGGAAACCCUGAUGCAGCAACGCCGCGUGAAGGAAGAAGUAUUUCGGUAUGUAAACUUCUAUCAGCAGGAAAGAAAAUGACGGUACCUGACUAAGAAGCCCCGGCUAACUACGUGCCAGCAGCCGC